GGGGCAUUAGCGCAGCUGGGAGCGCGUUGCACUGGCAGUGCAAAGGUCACGGGUUCAAGUCCCGUAUGCUCCACCA
rnacentral:tRNA from 1 species